ACCGCUUCAUCUUGAUCUUAGCUUUCCAGGAAAUAAAUGGAGAUGAGAAUUAUAAAGCAAAACUUUUUGACCAACAUCAAAUGUUUUUCUCAAGAUUCUCUUGUCAUGAAACUCUUUGAUUCUUGCUUUAUGAAUUUUUGAAUUCUCAUAUGCAUCAUUUCUUAUUUCCUCAAACUUAUUUAUUUAUAACUUAUGCAUCUGGC
rnacentral:lncRNA from 1 species